rnacentral:sRNA from 1 species
GAUACCAGGGGCAAAAGGUUAUAAAACACGUUGUGCUUGCACAUAAGUGUUUUAUAACCUUUAUGACCCGCCCAAAUAUGAGGAUAAAAGUAGGACGACGCCCCACGAUAUCCGAAUUUGGGGCAGAAUUGUGGG